rnacentral:rRNA from 1 species
UACGUAGGCAGCAAGCGUUGUUCGGAAUUACUGGGCGUAAAGAGUGUGUAGGCGGUGUUCUAAGUUUGUCGUGAAAUCUCCCGGCUUAACUGGGAGGGUGCGGCGAAAACUGGAAUGCUAGAGGAUGGGAGAGGUAAGCGGAAUUCCUGGUGUAGCAGUGAAAUGCGUAGAGAUGUGGAGGAACACCGAUGGCGAAGGCAGCCCCCUGGGCUAACACUGACGCUCAUGCACGAAAGCGUGGGGAGCAAACAGG